AUUGAAGUGGCAGAAUAAAUGCGAGGAAUUUAAGCUUCCUUAAUGAAGAAUCCUUUAAUA
rnacentral:tRNA from 1 species